rnacentral:rRNA from 1 species
GGGAAUAUUGGACAAUGGGCGCAAGCCUGAUCCAGCCAUGCCGCGUGAGUGAUGACGGCCCUAGGGUUGUAAAGCUCUUUUACCUGGGAAGAUAAUGACGGUACCAGGAGAAUAAGCCCCGGCUAACUUCGUGCCAGCAGCCGCGGUAAUACGAAGGGGGCUAGCGUUGUUCGGAUUUACUGGGCGUAAAGCGCACGUAGGCGGAUCUUUAAGUCAGGGGUGAAAUCCCGAGGCUCAACCUCGGAACUGCCUUUGAUACUGGGGAUCUUGAGUCCGGAAGAGGUGAGUGGAACUGCGAGUGUAGAGGUGAAAUUCGUAGAUAUUCGCAAGAACACCAGUGGCGAAGGCGGCUCACUGGUCCGGAACUGACGCUGAGGUGCGAAAGCGUGGGGAGCAAAC